CCUACGGGUGGCAGCAGUGGGGAAUAUUGCGCAAUGGGCGAAAGCCUGACGCAGCGACGCCGCGUGAGGGAUGAAGGUCUUCGGAUCGUAAACCUCUGUCAGCAGGGAAGAACGGUGACUGGUCUAAUCAGCAGUGAAUUGACGGUACCGGCAGAGGAAGCACCGGCUAACUCCGUGCCAGCAGCCGCGGUAAUACGGAGGGUGCGAGCGUUAAUCGGAAUUACUGGGCGUAAAGCGCUCGUAGGCGGUAUGUCAAGUCAAGGGUGAAAUCCCCGCGCUCAACGCGGGAACUGCCUUUGAUACUGGCAAACUGGAGUGUGGUAGAGGAGAGUGGAAUUCCAGGUGUAGCAGUGAAAUGCGUAGAGAUCUGGAGGAAUAUCAGUGGCGAAGGCGACUCUCUGGAACAUAACUGACGCUGAGGAGCGAAAGCGUGGGUAGCAAACAGGAUUAGAUACCCUUGUAGUC
rnacentral:rRNA from 1 species